AUUGAACGCUGGCGGCAUGCUUUACACAUGCAAGUCGAACGGUAACAGGUUAAGCUGACGAGUGGCGAACGGGUGAGUAAUGCAUCGGAACGUGCCCGAUCGUGGGGGAUAACGCAGCGAAAGCUGCGCUAAUACCGCAUACGAUCUGAGGAUGAAAGCGGGGGACCGUAAGGCCUCGCGCGAUCGGAGCGGCCGAUGUCAGAUUAGGUAGUUGGUGGGGUAAAGGCUCACCAAGCCAACGAUCUGUAGCUGGUCUGAGAGGACGACCAGCCACACUGGGACUGAGACACGGCCCAGACUCCUACGGGAGGCAGCAGUGGGGAAUUUUGGACAAUGGGCGAAAGCCUGAUCCAGCAAUGCCGCGUGCAGGAAGAAGGCCUUCGGGUUGUAAACUGCUUUUGUACGGAGCGAAAAGGUUCUCUCUAAUACAGAGGGCUCAUGACGGUACCGUAAGAAUAAGCACCGGCUAACUACGUGCCAGCAGCCGCCGUAA
rnacentral:rRNA from 1 species